CUAUCAGUUAUCAAUCCUAAAUUCCUAAUUACCAAGUCGCCUCCCCCUCCCAAAGUCCCAAGUGUCGUCCCUCCCUCCCUCCCUCCCUCCUCCCUCCCUCUGCCGGAUUUCAAUUGGAACUCCCUUCGCACAAGUCACUGGCCGCUGUUCGAAGUCUGCCACAGUUCGAAAUCCCUGGCCGCAGUUCAAUCGAUUUUAGACAAUUCCGGUGAAAAAUUGUUUGCUCAGGUUCAAUCGAGUUCGAAGUCUUCCGCCGUUGCUGCUUCCACCACAUUUCACCGCCGUUGCUGCUUCCACCACAGUUAACCGAAGUCAAUCGUACAGUUGAUCCCUUAGGCAGUGGCGUGAGAAGAUAUUAAGUUUGGAUUAAUGACUAAGGAUUCUGGCAGUGGUGGUGGUUCUGGAACUCCUAGGCUCAGACCCCGUAAGCAGUCUAAUGAGAUACCUGCUGAGAUCACUAAACAAAAUGGGGGCAGUUUACUUGUUAAUGAUCAUAACAAGUACAAAUCUGUGUGGAUCCGCACGCAUUCUAGCUUUGGAUGAUUGGGGUUUUGUCUUCAUCAUCUACAUGGGUCAUCUUUAUAUUUGUGCCAUGGUGGUUGUGAUUCAAAUUCUGAUGGCAAAGGAACUGUUCAAUCGAUCUAUUACGGAAGGUUCGAGAAGAUUGAGAUCUUCCUGGUUUUCGGCUAUUAAAUUGGAUUGAGAUGGCUAUAAUCUUUCGCAGACGCAGAAGUCGGUCAAGCUCCCCCAUCGUCGUAAAAGUCAUUCACCUAUAAGGCGUCGUAAGAGCUUUCUCCAACAACACGGCAUUACAGGACAAAGAAAAGUAGAAGUUCGUCUCGCUCUCCUCCAAGUAAGUCCCGCAGUCCAAGUGUUGCAUCAGCUGAGCGCAAGGAAGCCAAAAAGAAACAGAAAAAGGAAGAAGAAAAGAAAAGGGAUUCCGCACAAGCUGGUGAUUUAUUUGUCAUCUGAUUCUUUUUGAAGUCUGGGUUAGUGUAUCAGAAAAGAAAUCACUCAUUUUUUUCUUCAUAUUGUUGUAAAUAUUCUCUGUUUCUACAUCUAUUUGCUUGUACUUUCAGUCUGUUGGCUUUUGGUUUUGCCUUCGUGUAAAUUCUGCUUCCUUCCUUCAUGUCUUUGCUUUCGUGUUGGACCUUUCUGUGUAGCUAUCUGUCUGGUUAGCAGCAGACUUCUUCCAUAUCUUAUGAGCUGAUUCUCACAUGUGCUUCUCUUGGAUUUAUAAUUAUAAAUAUGCUACAGGGUACUUGAACUCUGGUGAACCUGUUACGCAAGUGAAUGACAGAAAAUGAUUGGAACGAUGACAGACCUAAGCUAGCUAUACUUAAUUGUUUUGUUAAUGUAAACAUUGUAAACCAAUGACACAUAUAUUUUAUUGUAUUUAUUAAGUUCUGGAAUGCUUCUCAUGUUUCUUUAUCCCAUGUGCUGAAUGGAGCAUAGGGAAGAAGAGGGGAAGAAUUUGAGACAUGCGUAAAAAUUGGAGCUAUGCUUUAUUGUUUUGUUGAUGUAAACCAAUAAAUCAUAGAUUUUGUUACAGUUGAUACAUUUCUUGGCUGCUCAUGUAUUCAGUUGUGAUUUUUUUGCUCCUAUUACAAGAUGGAAUUUUUGUUU